UACGUAGGGGGCAAGCGUUGUCCGGAUUUAUUGGGCGUAAAGAGCGUGUAGGCGGCUUUACAGGUCCGUUGUGAAAAACUCGAGGCUCAACCUCGAGACGCCGGUGGAAACCGUAAGGCUAGAGUCCGGAAGAGGAGAGUGGGAAUUCCUGGUGUAGCGGUGAAAUGCGCAGAUAUCAGGAGGACACCCGUGGCGAAAGCGGCUCUCUGGGACGGUACUGACGCUGAGACGCGAAAGCGUGGGGAGCAAACAGG
rnacentral:rRNA from 1 species